AGUUGACAGGGAGGGUUGACGAUCUAUCCCAUGAUGUUAGAAUACUACAGUCUUCCGUUGUCGACCUUCAGGAUACAGUAGCGGCGCUUAGAGGAGAUUUAGCCGGCAGAUGAUGGGGGGACAGAGGGGAUGGCGGAGACCAUGAUCGAGAGGGUGGCAGAUAUGGUGAUGGAGAGGGAGGUUACCCACAUUUUUAGCGUGAUGAGACAUUGGAGUCCUUGUGGUUGUCUAUGGAGGGGGUGGCCCCGAUGGGGAUGGGAGAGGGGACUACGGAGGAGGUGGCCCCGGAGGUCGAGAGGACGCCCGGCGUGAUUGAGGGUAAGAGACAUGCUGUUGAUGAGACGGAGCAGGUGGUCGGCAAGAGAUUGAGAGUGCCGUCACAGUAUGUUGUUUCCCCCUUCACGGCUGAGGCCAAGAGGAGGACGUUCAUCGAUGGGACGUACCCGAACUUAUUCAAAGAUGUGGACAAUGCCAAGUGGAAAGCGUUCGAGACAAAGUAGAGGAGAAUUAUCCCCGGAGCUAGCCGCACGAUAGGACAAAGGACGAUCUCGGACCCUUACAAGUGGUUCCACGAUAUCACCACUGCGGGAGCUUGGCUCGCCGACGAUCACAUCGACCUGACCAUGGACUUGCUGCGAGAUCGAGCUCAAAGACAUCCAAAAUCAUUUGAUGUCCAUGGUCGAGUCAUAUUAAACACCGAGUUCCUGGGUGCCGUUACCAUAGAGUAUCAGUCGCUCGCACAUAUGGGUAACGAGUACACGGUGCCAGAAUAUAUGCUUGAGUGGGUGAUAGGACUGUCACCAAGUGUCAGGGAAAAAUCAUGGGAGGGUUGUACACAUAUGUACAUUCCAGCGUGCAUCAAUAAACACUAUGUUACGCUGGAGAUCGUUUUUGCUGACUCGACUAUAUAUGUGUACGACCCAUAUCAUUCAUGUUUGACACAAGGCCAGUUGGAGCAAAAUCUGGAGUCCGUGGCUGUCAUUGUUCCUAUGAUGGCCAGACGAAUGGGGAUAAAUGUACGGGAUAGAUUGCGGAUCGUUC